rnacentral:rRNA from 1 species
CAAUAGCGUAUAUUAAAGUUGUUGCAGUUAAAAAGCUCGUAGUUGGAUUUCUGAUCGAGACAUCAGGUCGGGUCCGAGAGGAUCAUGUACUAUGAUUUUGUUUUGAUCAUCCUUGGGGAGAGCAUUUCUGGCAUUCAGUUGUCGGGAUUGGGAUCCUCAUCGUUUACUGUGAAAAAAUUAGAGUGUUCAAAGCAGGCCUCGGCCUCUGAAUACAUUAGCAUGGAAUAAUAAGAUAGGACUUUGGUGGUCUAUUUUGUUGGUUUGCACGCCAAAGUAAUGAUUAAUAGGGAUAGUUGGGGGUAUUCGUAUUCAAUUGUCAGAGGUGAAAUUCUUGGAUUUAUGGAAGACGAACUACUGCGAAAGCAUUUACCAAGGAUGUUUUCAUUAA